AGGAGAUGCUAUUGAAAAAUUGUCUGCAGAACAGGAACAAGCUUCAGCUAUGAUUAUGCAAAAUAGGUUUGCCCUAGAUUAUUUGUUGGCCUCCAAAGGUGGUGUUUGUGCACUAAUAAAAACAAGAUGUUGUUUAAAGAUAGAUAAUGUUACUGGUCAGAUUCAUACAGAUGUAGAAUUAAAUUAAACUUAGAGAAGUUCACGAUACUUCUUCGGGAGGUUUAAAUUGGGGUUUUGACUGGAGUUUUGGUUUAACUAAUUGGUUGGGAACAAUGGGAAAACGUAUUCUCAUUGGAGUUAUUUUAGUAGUAUUGAUGCUUGUCUUUAUAUAUGUUGCAGUGAAUGUCCUAAAGUGUUCGUGCCGAUUAAUCCUCAAGAGCUGUUC